rnacentral:rRNA from 1 species
GACGAACGCUGGCGGCGUGCUUAACACAUGCAAGUCGAACGGAAAGGCCCUGCUUUUGUGGGGUGCUCGAGUGGCGAACGGGUGAGUAACACGUGAGUAACCUGCCCUUGACUUUGGGAUAACUUCAGGAAACUGGGGCUAAUACCGGAUAGGAGCUCCUGCUGCAUGGUGGGGGUUGGAAAGUUUCGGCGGUUGGGGAUGGACUCGCGGCUUAUCAGCUUGUUGGUGGGGUAGUGGCUUACCAAGGCUUUGACGGGUAGCCCGCCUGAGAGGGGGGCCGGGCACAUGGGGACUAAGAGAGGGCCCAGGAGGGAAGGGGGGGCAAAGGGGGGAAGAAUGACAGAGGGGGGGGACGCGAGAGAAGAAAGGCCGGGGGGCGGAAAACGGGCUUAGGGGGGAAAAACAGCUGUGGAAGGAAAGGAGGAGAGAGUGAAGGAAAUGAAUAAGAAAGACCCGGAUAACUACGUG